GCCAGACUCCUACGGGAGGCAGCAGUGGGGAAUAUUGCACAAUGGGGGAAACCCUGAUGCAGCGACGCCGCGUGAGUGAAGAAGUAUUUCGGUAUGUAAAGCUCUAUCAGCAGGGAAGAAAAUGACGGUACCUGACUAAGAAGCCCCGGCUAACUACGUGCCAGCAGCCGCGGUAAUACGUAGGGGGCAAGCGUUAUCCGGAUUUACUGGGUGUAAAGGGAGCGUAGACGGUGAAGCAAGUCUGAAGUGAAAGGCGGGGGCUCAACCCCCGGACUGCUCUUGGAACUGCGCGGCUGGAGUGCAGGAGGGGCAGGCGGAAUUCCUGGUGUAGCGGUGAAAUGCGUAGAUAUCAGGAGGAACACCGGUGGCGAAGGCGGCCUGCUGGACUGCGACUGACGUUGAGGCCCGAAAGCGUGGGGAGCAAACAGGAUUAGAUACCCGAGUA
rnacentral:rRNA from 1 species